AGGGAACUCUUCCCAGUUCAUUGGAGGCGUUCAGAUACCAUGGUGAUGGGGGACUUCAUGAAUAACGAGAUAGAUAAAUGAACUCUGUUUGCUGUCUUGCUUCUCCUUCUGCUCUGCAGAAAGCCGCAAGCUUACAUCCAGGAUGCUGUAGUCCCUGCUCAGUGAGAUAACUGUGAUCGUGGGAGUUUCUCCUUGUUCCAUAAGAGACUCUCCUUUAGGAAGUAUGCUCCAUGGUUCAGUUACUCACAAGAAGACUGAUGGCUGGAAGAAAACCAACAAAAGCCCAAGCAGGCUAGCAGGAGGUUGGCUGACAAGGUGUUAUGGAGUUCUUAGCAUCUCCAGCUCCCAUUGCUACGUAGAGGAAUCCAGGGGCACUGAGAGCCUCUGGAAAAUACUCAUAGAAGAGUCCUCCAAAAAAGGAAGAGAGAUUUUCUAUGAAGCUAUUCUAUGGUCCCGUAAUUACCUGUACAGUCUGUAAGUGCAUCCACAGGUUCACACGGGACCCAGAAACUCUCAGAAGAUAAUGAUAUAUCAAAACCUGACGUUUCUGGGGAAGAAUGUAGUUCAAUCUGUGUGUUUUCACUCCAGUUAGAAAAACUGCAUGCAAUGUCACGUUAACUUCAUCUCCCACUCCAGUGACGCUAUUUCUCCUUCAACCACAUACCCACAGACUCUGCUCUUAUUCCCUGAAGCGGAUAACAGAGAGCUUGGAGCCCAAGGUGCUGAAACGUAGGAAGAAACAUCGCCUCCUCCUGUAGUUCAUGGCAAGCAGGGCUGUCAUAUCUGGGCAGCUAAGCAGAGAACAAUGGCAUCUGCAUGGAAAGCAGCUGGGAACUGCAAGUGGGAUACAGAAAUAUUGAGAUUCUGUUGUUUUUCUAAACGCAACAGGACAUAAGUGGCAUACAUGACUUACAAACAUGACUUAGAAACCAUCCCAACUAUCUACUGUCACUCCGCUUUUAGUCCCACACUGACCUGCACUUCUUAGUACUUUGGAAAUGAGAUUGCUGCACACGUGGAACUUUAGCAACUGCAGGAGGAAACUUGCAAAAGAAGGUCAAGCCGACAUGAGGGCCUUCCUGAGAAGAGCCUGGGUCUUUGCUUGCAGACAGGAUUACAGCUAAAUCAGAAAUCAUGCCCUUUAGCAGGAGGACAUAUAUGAUCUGCAGCAGCCGGAAAACCUGUCUCUUUAGAAGCCACAGUCUUCCAAACUGUUAACGCUGACAAUGAUGCAGCAAAACUACUAUAGAUUUCCAGAGGCUAAUUAUGAACAGGUGAUGAUUUGAGCAAAAAUUCAGAAAUCAAACAUUGAGCUCAGUUUGAGCUCAUUUAGGUUGCUAUUCAGCAUCAGUAAAAUAUUUAUAAUGCACAAACACAAUGAAGUUUUAUGUAAACCUGCUUUUGAGGGGAAAAAAAAAAAGAUAACUACAAAUAAAAGAGAAAAGAAUUUGGUUUAAUAAGUUCUCCUUUACAUGCAAAUUACCUCCAAGCAACUGAUAAAGGUAAACACCACUAACUUAUUUAGAGAGAUGUGGCAGCCCAUGUGGGUUAGACCAGUGAGCUCUACUGAUGUCAGAAAUACAUCCCCAGGUCAGAGCAUGGCCAAGCAAGUAGUAAAUUCAGGCUGAGAGCACUGGAUGCUGGGAGAAGGCAGGAGAAGCACUGGUGAGAGCUUUGCAUCUCUUGGAAAGCACUGUGGAAAUGUUUAAUUUGCAUGCAAAAAGAGAUGCAGAUGGCCCUUCAAUGUAAUGGUUAGCCUUGACAUCUUUGAGAGUAUCUCCAUUUUAUCUAUAUGCAUUUGUAUUUUUCUCCAGCCUGUAAAGGGAAGGAGGAGGCUGAAGUCCCACCACCAUAUGGCAGAGGAGAAAUGGAGACAUCAGCAUCUCGCCGGUAUGGUUUGCAGCGAGCAUUCGCCCUACCCUAUAAAUGCGAUGGGAGACUUAAGCCCAUAGCUGACAUGGAAAUGAAAGUUUUGGUGAAUGAGUCUUCUUGAAGUAAUAAAUGCAUUUUCUUGCUUC
ensembl:lncRNA